CCCUUAGACACUCUAGGCGGCACGCGCGCUACAAUGGGUGGAAGACCGUGUUACUGCCUUCGAAAGAAGGGGUGAAUCACGAAUUCUUACCCGUGAAUGGGAUAGUUUGUUGCAAUUUUCGGACUUGAACUAGGAAUCCCUUGUAAGCAUGCUCAAGAAUAGCGUGUUGAAUACGUCCCUGCCGUUUGUACACACCGCCCGUCGUUUCUUCCGACUGAUACUCAUUGUGAGUUGCAAGGACGCUUCUUUGUGAAAUUGCUGCGAAUGCUUUGUAUUGGAGGAAGAAAAAGUCGUAACA
rnacentral:rRNA from 1 species